UAUUCAGUUUUUAAUUCACAUGGGUUUUUUCCACAUUCAUUUAAUAAAGGGUCUAUAUAGAUCACUCCUCAAUACUGAGUGUCUACAAAAGUGGCCAAAGUAUUUGAGUUUCAUCUUCAGGAUCUGGAAAUGUGCAGUGAAGACCAGGGAUAAACAAGCUAGUACAUGCACUAUCUUUGCUGUAACUUUCAUUAUCCCUUCUCUUCCUUCUACAGACACAUUGAUGGAAAACUGUACUACAGAGCCUUUUGUUUCCAUGAAGGAUUCCUACAUAUCUUAGAAUUCUAAAUUGUGCACUGAACUUUCAGGAAUAUAAAGGUUUCCUGUUGCAGAACUCCACAGAGUGAAUGAAGAUGGAAAGAAAAAGGAAAAAAUAAGAGGAAGAAGAGGAAGAAACCAUCCUACAGCAAGCACUGGGAAAGCCUCCAGGACUUCCGAGUCAUCUGUCCUAACAGUCAUAAAGUUACAGCUUCGGCAAGAUGGAAUUUAUAAUUUCUUGGAAUCCCAUGGAGUAAUGACUUAAGAACAAGGAGGGAAAAUAAGAUUUCUUACUGAAGUUCCCUUGGAAGCAUCAACAUAAUUCUACCUCUUUGAGGAUUGCUCCAAAAAUAAUUUUUCUCUUUCCCACUUCCAAAACAAAAGAGGAUGACUCCUGCUGCAAAAAAAACCUGAUUCAAUGUUGAUGGAUUAUUAUUUCUUGGUUUUGGAGACAUCUGAACUUUGGACAGAUGAAUCAAGACUGAAAAUUUAUGGACAGUUUGAAUUAGGACAAAAUGAUUUAGAGCUGUUUGCUUCUCUCAAGCAAAUAAAAAAAAUCCUGAAUUUCCCCAAUCGCCCUGGAUUUAGACUUUAUCCCAACUCAAGGUGCAAUCUUAACACAUGGAAGAUGAUAGUCACUUCUUCUGAGUUUUAUAAAUGAUCUUCUUUUGAAAAUCCUGGCCCUCUGGAGACCAGAGUUCAGUUCUUCUGGAGAGGAUCUAUUUGACCUAGCCAAAAGGCAGAAGAAGAUGUAUCCGUGACAUUCAGGCAAUGGAAUUUCCUGCUCCAAGACAACAUGUUGACUCUUUCCCCCAUGCAGUUUAAAUGCCAGAUCACCACUUUUUUAUUCCAACAAACUUAUGGCUUGCCUGACUUCUAGAUUGUGUGUUUAUGCAUAAUAUGUUGCUGACUAUCUCCUGCAUUUUUGUGGAGAUAGUUGUUUCAAAUGUGUUUUUUUAAAGGCAACUGGGCUGUUUUUCCUUGAGAAAGAAGACAAUGUUUUGCUUCUCAUCCAAGAAGCUUCAUAAGUCCUAUGUUUUCUUUGUUAUUUCUAGUUAGAAAACAAUUGUGCUUAAUUAUACUGUCUAUCUCAUUUAAGUUGGAAAGGCUGGAUGUACGUUUGUAAUUGGUAAUUGAAAUAAUAAAAUGUAGCUUGACAUUGUUCAUGACUGAUCAUAUACAACAUGUUCAUUCAAGCAAAAAAAAAACACAAGUUUAGAACUUUUGUCCCAGUCUGGAUAUAUACUACUCAAAUGGCAUACAGUGAUAUCUGAAAUAACUCCACUCCAUCACCAUUUACUAUCCUUCAAAAUCCUUCAAAAAUAAGUGGAACAUAUUUCUAAAUUGUUACCAGUAGUAACAACAGUGCUAAGAACAAAGAAAUGAUUGUCUUGCUCUGAGCUGUUGCAGGUACCAUAAGCACAAGAACCUUCCACAUAAAAUGGAAUGAAAUAAAAUUAUUAAUAUGGUGGUGAUGUCUACAGGUUUCUGGUCUCCUGCAAAAAAGAAGAGAGGGACCAAUGGAGUCUUGCCCAUUUCAUCCCUGCAGCUUUACCAGAAUUACUAAAGGGAAGCUGUGAAGCCAACAUUGACAUUAGUAGGCCUGACAAAGAAUACCUGGAACUGGAAAGAAUGGUGAAGCAAGAGAUCCCUUCAGUGGAGAAAGAACUUAUUCCCAUGUACUUUAAAGGAGCUUUUCUGGCACCUCACCUCAGCUGAUCUAGAAGUAAAUUGAUUCAGUUGCUGAAGAGAGAAAUUGGCAUGUGAUCAGAGAAUUGGUGUGCCAGCCCUGAACGAUGCAAUCACCUCAGAGAUGCCCUCAGAUCCAAUACAAAGAAAUUGAUGUUAAAAGAACUACAUAUAGAUGUGCACAAUAUGGACACAAUAAUAUA